GUGAACCUGCGGAAGGAUUCUUGUCGAACCCUGCAAGGCAGAACGACCUGUGAACAUGUAAUUACAAUUGGUUGAUGUGGAGACGGGCCCUGGUCCUUAUCCCCAUCUCCCCCCGGUGUGUGUUUUUGGUGCCUCUUUUGGGGAGCCAUUGAUGCAUGCUGGACUAUAACAAAACCCCGGCACGGAAUGUGCCAAGGAAAACAAAAGAUGAGAAGUACGCGUAUCGUGUUGCCCCGUUUGCGGUGUGCAUGCGGUUCGUCGAUGCUCUAUAAACUAUAAACGACUCUCGGCAACGGAUAUCUCGGCUCACGCAUCGAUGAAGAACGUAGCAAAAUGCGAUACUUGGUGUGAAUUGCAGAAUCCCGUGAACCAUCGAGUUUUUGAACGCAAGUUGCGCCCGAAGCCAUUCGGCUGAGGGCACGCCUGCCUGGGCGUCACGCAUCGCGUCGUCCCCCACCAUCUUACCCAACCGGUUAUUAUGGUCACGGGGCGGAGAUUGGUCUCCCGUACUUGUUGUGGUUGGCCUAAAAAGGAGUCCCCUUCAGCGGACACACGACUGGUGGUGGUUGAACAGACCCUUGUCUUUAUCGUGUGUGGUGAGCUGCUAGGGAAGCCCUCAUCAAGACCCCAACGUAUAGUUUUAGGACG
rnacentral:rRNA from 1 species